ensembl:lincRNA
AUGGGCACAUCGUUUUCCACUUUAAUAAUGACGAAAAAAAGAAAAAGUAACUUUAAAAUAGACCCUUUAGGCACUGAGCAGCAGUCACAGAGGGAGGAGCUGGUAGCUGCGUUGUCCCACGAAGUCCAUGAGCACACAGGCAAAGCUACUGAAACCAGCCACUCAGAACCCUGGAACUUAAACAAAGCAGUAGAUCAAACCAAAGCCAGCUACCACGGAGAAACUAUGGAACCUAGCUUUCUGAGAGAAGCGUCAGCUAAGAAAACACCCCUAAAAGAAAUGCUUACUGCAAGCUUGGCUCAUUUAACCAAGAGCUUCAUAACGUACUGCUCUAAGGAUUAAGAAGAUGUCUACUAACCCUGUGAUUAAAAUGGAACCACAAAACAAGCCCUCACAUCUCUAAGGUACACUGAAGUUCUCCGAGUACCUCGUAUUCAUUAGCACCUUCAGGAUGACAGAACAACUCUGUAAGACAGCAGCAGCACCUGUGCAGUCAGGAAGCUUCCCUCAUAUCGUAGACACUGUGGCUUUGGGCCCAGGAAAUUCUUACAGAGAAUAAAACCCAGCCCAAGGAAGGGAUCACCUUGUGUGUCCUACAUGUAUUAUAAGGGAAGGAGGAGCCAGACAGACUAACUGAAGCAUUCUGAAGAAAUUUUAGGAAAUAGUUGAAAAGACCUAGAAAAAACAAAAGCAAGAGAUUGCUUUAUGAAAGAAAAUUGCUUUAUGUAGAUUAGGUGCUGCAUUAGCACAUGCUACAUACACUAAUUGGGAGAAAAGUGGUUGCGUUUAUUUAGCAUUUCUUUUCUAACGAAGUUCAAAAGCACUGUUCAACGUUUCUCAUUAAUUUUACAAUAUCUGUCAUAUGCUUACAGGAGGAGGUUACUAUUCCUUUAUUUUUGCACAUGGAUUUUAAAAAUGGGGUCUUAAAAGAAAAGAUCAGAUUUUCCAAGGAAGCUCAUGGUGUGAAUUUGAAUUUUGCUGUGGGUCCCAGCAUAGUUUAAGGAAGUCACAUACCACUCCCCCCAGAUAGAUCUGAUAUGUAGGUUAACUAUCAUUUUCAUAGACUGAAUAAAGGCUCUGUGCAGAGUAGAAAAGCCACCUGGCAAAAGCAGGGGGUGUGGCAGGCACUUUAUAAAAACCAAACAAAGCACAUAUAAACCUAUCAUUCAAUGGUUUACUCGCUGUGAUGAUAGGAGGAUGACUUGCUCUUUUUUUUUUUUUUUUUUUUCAUCUUGAUCCUCCAUGUCCUCUGUUUACUUUUUCUAGUAGGUUGUGAAGAGUUAGUCAUUACACUUGAAAAGAAUCCAGUCAAGGUCAGGGAUUUGGCUCCGUGGUUCUGCCGCCUGCCUCACAAGCACAGGACCUGAGUUUGAUCCCCGGUACCAAAAAAAAAAAAGAAGAAUCCAGUCAAUUAUUAAAAGUUAAACUCAUUUUGAUAGGACAGAUGUACAAAAUGGCAACUCCGAGUGGAAUGGCAGCCUUCCUGUCUCAGAUUCAAGGUUGUGAGCUCUGCAGUGGUACUUCAGAAGGGAUAUCUCCAAGGGUCUGAAAAUGACCUUGGCUUUCUGAAACCACUCAGGUUCUUACAUUGUUGCAUUAUCCAAAGAAGGAAUUCAUUGUCCAUUUUCCCAGCCCUGGCUGAAAUUUGUAACUUUAGGCAUAAAGGAUAGGCAGGGGUCCAGUGUUGACCUGUGAUUAAAGUUACAGAAAUCCUACAGUUUAGGAUUACUCCAUCUAAGGCUGAAAGCCAGCUGGAACCCUAGGACAAACAGUAACUUGACAUGAAGACAGAAUUCGUGAUUUUAACACUGAACAGUUGAUGUGAAUACGAGUUGAUUUACCGCUGUGUCAGCAGCAUUACCACCACAGCCACCACCACCAUCAUACUUGUUUGUUUGUUUCUUUGUUUUUGGUAACGGGGAUUGAACUCAGGUCCUUGCACUUGCGAGGCGUUGCCAGAACCACUGAGCUAAAUCCCCAGGCAAGUCCUUGUUAUUUUUACUCAAUGAAUCCCACAUCUUUAAAUAUCUGAAAAUGAAGGCAGAGGAUCAGAUUUAAGACAAAGGGGCUAUGUGUAGUCUCAUAUGACAAUCAAAGAGAACCUCAUGCUACUUUACUUUUAUACUUAUCCACCCACUGUGGCUGGGGAUUUAGCUCAGUGGUUCAGGCACCUGCCUCACAAACUCAAGGACCUGAGUUCCAUCCCUGGUACCAAAACAAAACAAAAAACUACUCUAUACUCAUCCACCUACAAUACGGGAGUCAUGAACUGGACUUUCUGGAGAUUUGAGUAAAAAUAUACACUUCCUUGUGGUGUUUCUGUUCUCUUGAUCUUUCUCCAGUUAACAGCUUGCCGAGGUCCCUUAUCUCCUUCCAGUAUGUGCCCAGCUUCUUCUCCCCCAGGAAGCUACCUGUCCCCAUCUUGAAUGUAGCCACUCUUGGUUCACCCUGCCUCCCUGGCCUAUCCCUGAUCCAUUUUAGACUCCUAUUUUCAUACAGCCGUUAUCAGAUUCUAACACAUUAUGUAAUGUACUUAUUUGUUCUGACCAUUUUUCACCUCCUCCUGCUAAAACACAAGCUCUAUGAGGACAGGGCAUUUUGUUUAGUUAACAUUUGUAUCCCAGGUCCCAAGAGUGGGCCUCACAUUCAAAGCAAAUUUGUGCUGAAUGAUGAGCAAACUCAGGCUGUCUGCUCCUGCCUCUGUUACCAACAAUGGACACACUUCUUAUGUGGAUUGGUGCAGCUCACUGUUGCUAUCACUGUUGAUUUUUGCAUCCUCAGUGCAAAUGUCAACCUUGGGAACAAAACAACAGCACUGUAGUCUAAUUAGGAAAACAGUAAUGACCUUACUGGCCCCUGAAAGAUUCUCAGAGAUCUCUGUGUCCACACUUUCACUGCUGAGCUAAAAUAACAGAUGCAGGGGUAAAGGAAGGCUCUUCCAAAGAAACCAGUUCUCAAAAGUCUCUUUGCUUUCUAAGACAAACAGAGAGGACUGUAUUUUUUGUUUUGUUGGUACCAGGAUCAAACUCAGGAUCUUGAACUUGUGAGUCAGGCAGGAGCACCACUGAGCUAAAUCCCUGGUCCCCCAGAGAGGACUGUAAAUAUGCUAUUUAUUUAAGAAGGCAAUCCCAUUUUACCAUUCCCUCUCUUCCUGGAUGCCAACAUAAUGCCCUCUCGUUCUGAUUCCUUUGAACUUUCCCCUGGUUCUUGCUUUAAUCACCUUCUACUUAAAUACAAGCACAGCAAAAAGCUCCAUGUCACCACUCUGUCUUGUGUUAGAAUCAUCCAGGUGGACUUUGCUGGGCUGGACAGAGUAGACGUGGUUACAGUACACACCUCUGAAUAGUGCACGUUAUGGCUCCUUCUUCCCCAACUAUGAUUCAGGGUUUCAAAAAAAAGGCCCAAAGCAACAAACGAUGAACUUCAGGGUCAUCAAGCCCAGGCAGACCCCUGUGCUCCCAGGUCAUAAGUCAAGGCUCCUGCUGCUGGUUCUGGAGGAAAGUCUGAACCGUGGGUUAACAGUUAGGAACUCUAGGGACCAGGUGGUGACUAUUGAGGAGUCAGGUUUACCUGAGCUGCAGCACUGUGGCUGUGUUAGCAGGCAGCAGAGGAGCAGGGCACAGCGGGCCUGCAGGGAGUGUGAAGCCAAGGUGCAGCUCUGGUAGGCCUUCUCCCUUCAAGGCAUCUGCAAGCCCCCAAUCUCUUCUGGGCCCACAGGUCGUUCUGCUUACAGAACAGCUUGUAAAACAAUCUCCUUCAUCCCUGCUCACUUCUCUCUGCUCCUGGUCCUCUCACGUUUUGGCCGUAUAACUAGCUGCCCCCAGAGCAACCUGGAGGAAGCAACUGUCUCCCUGAAACUGCUCCCUAGGUUGUCGCACAGCAUCAUCACCCACAUGCUCGCUUAAGCUACACACCUGGAGAAGUCACCCUGACCACCUCCCAUGAGCCCUUAUCCUUAACUCUGAAGUCCAAAAUGUACUUUGCAAGGUGGCACCACACUUACUUGUCACUUGACUGAAAUGGCAGGAGGCGGUCCGUGGUGCCCAUCCCACUUGGUGACAAUGUUCUUACAUUUCAGGGAAAAAUACUAGUGCUUGAUCAUGCGAUGCUACUGCCCCAUAUGCCACAGGGAAAUGUUAAAAUUCAUAUGUGUACUACACUAGUAAAGUCCCCCCAAUUCGAAAUUUCUCUGGGUCCCUGUGUUUUGGAUUAGGGGGUCUGGCCCCAUAAUGGUGACUAAAUCCCUAAGGUUUUUCUCCGAAUGUUGUCUUUGACACUUCUGUCUUUAUUUCUUAACGCCAACAUUUCUGGCAGGUUCAAUCCCUCCUAAAUUCUCUCUCCUAUUGUCCUGUAAGCCUUAUGUGUGAUUUUUUUUUUCCUUUGCCCUAAUCAAAUGUUUCCACACUUAAUAUCCUUUCUGUAGUUUAAACUUAAUCACUGCUCCAUUCUAAAACACCAACUCUGGGAGUAUUUCCCAACUUUCAGCCAUUAAAGUACCAUCUUAAUCAAUUUGCUAGAUCCAUGUGCCGAUGUUCCAAUUUUUUUUCCUCUUAGGUCGACACAUUUUUUUGUUUAUUUAUGUGGGAAUCUUAAUGGCACUGGUGUAAAUACAGAACCCAUAUUGUUUCUCAUACUCAGAAGGUCAAAAAGUGGAAAUAAUCGAAAAAAAUAGAAACUUUCUCAAAGGGGACAAGGCAGACACCUUGCUACUUAUUGAAAAGGGUAUUCACAAGAGCUAAUACUUACUGCGCAUCUACUAUGCUCUAAGUAUCUCUUCAGCUCCUUAAAUUUAACUUGUCUUCCCAACCACCCUGUGAGGUGGCUACUUAUUCUCAUUUUACGAUGAGGUAACGGGAGUCACAGACAAGGAACUUGCUUACGUCACAUAGCCUCCAGUAAUGGCUUUAAGUGAGAGGCCGAAGGAAAGCGGGAGAAUGCAAAGCCGGCUCACCGAGUGACUCGGCGUCCCCACGUGCCCCAGCCUCCCAGCUCCCAACAGAGCCUCUCCUGUGGUGGCCAGCAGGUAGCCCAGGACCCGCACUUCUGCAAAUCCGACUGCUGCGGGAUAACCUAGGUUUUUGCAAUGUUAAUAAUUUGACUUCUACUUCUUUAGCUUCACACGCUGCCCCAGGAUCCUCGCGACCUCAGCAGGCAGGCGCGCGCGUGCACAGGCGAUAGGACGGCCGUUCCCACCCGAGCCGACGGCCCACGCUGGUCCCCGAGCUGAGCU